AGGCUUAACACAUGCAAGUCGAGCGGGCGUAGCAAUACGUCAGCGGCAGACGGGUGAGUAACGCGUGGGAACAUACCUUUUGGUUCGGAACAACACAGGGAAACUUGUGCUAAUACCGGAUAAGCCCUUACGGGGAAAGAUUUAUCGCCGAAAGAUUGGCCCGCGUCUGAUUAGCUAGUUGGUGAGGUAAUGGCUCACCAAGGCGACGAUCAGUAGCUGGUCUGAGAGGAUGAUCAGCCACACUGGGACUGAGACACGGCCCAA
rnacentral:rRNA from 1 species